AUGCAGUCGACGGAAAGGCCCCUUCGGGGGUACUCGAGUGGCGAACGGGUGAGUAACACGUGGGCAAUCUGCCCUGCACUUCGGGAUAAGCCUGGGAAACUGGGUCUAAUACCGGAUAGGACCUUUAGACGCAUGUCUUUUGGUGGAAAGCUUUUGCGGUGUGGGAUGGGCCCGCGGCCUAUCAGCUUGUUGGUGGGGUGAUGGCCUACCAAGGCGACGACGGGUAGCCGGCCUGAGAGGGUGUCCGGCCACACUGGGACUGAGAUACGGCCCAGACUCCUACGGGAGGCAGCAGUGGGGAAUAUUGCACAAUGGGCGCAAGCCUGAUGCAGCGACGCCGCGUGGGGGAUGACGGCCUUCGGGUUGUAAACCUCUUUCACCAUCGACGAAGGUUCGGGUUUUCUCGGAUUGACGGUAGGUGGAGAAGAAGCACCGGCCAACUACGUGCCAGCAGCCGCGGUAAUACGUAGGGUGCGAGCGUUGUCCGGAAUUACUGGGCGUAAAGAGCUCGUAGGUGGUUUGUCGCGUUGUUCGUGAAAUCUCACGGCUUAACUGUGAGCGUGCGGGCGAUACGGGCAGACUAGAGUACUGCAGGGGAGACUGGAAUUCCUGGUGUAGCGGUGGAAUGCGCAGAUAUCAGGAGGAACACCGGUGGCGAAGGCGGGUCUCUGGGCAGUAACUGACGCUGAGGAGCGAAAGCGUGGGGAGCGAACAGGAUUA
rnacentral:rRNA from 1 species